rnacentral:rRNA from 1 species
UCCUACGGGAGGCAGCAGUAGGGAAUCUUCCGCAAUGGACGAAAGUCUGACGGAGCAACGCCGCGUGAGUGAUGAAGGCUUUCGGGUCGUAAAACUCUGUCAAGUGGGAAGAAACCGCAUGAUGCUAAUACUAUCAUGCGCUGACGGUACCACUGAAGGAAGCACCGGCUAACUCCGUGCCAGCAGCCGCGGUAAUACGGGGGGUGCAAGCGUUAUUCGGAUUUACUGGGCGUAAAGAGCGCGUAGGCGGUCUUUUAAGUCAGGUGUGAAAGCCCGGGGCUUAACCCCGGAAGUGCACUUGAAACUAUGAGACUUGAGUAUGGGAGAGGGAAGUGGAAUUCCUGGUGUAGCGGUGAAAUGCGUAGGUAUCAGGAGGAACGCCGGUGGCGAAAGCGGCUCUCUGGACUGUAACUGACACUGAGGCUCGAAAGCGUGGGUAGCAAACAGGAUUAGAUACCCUGGUAGUCCACGCCGUAAACGAUGAGUGCUAGUUGUUUGGGGCUAUCCAGCCCUAAGUGACGCAGCAAACGCAUUAAGCACUCCGCCUGGGGAGUACGACCGCAAGGUUGAAACUCAAAUGAAUUGACGGA